rnacentral:lncRNA from 1 species
UAGCUAGCUGACACCAGAGUAUAGUAGUUUACCAUUUUGAGUUCAUGUGAGACAUUUUGAUGUACAGAGACAUGUAAAUGAAUGUAUUAUAAAGCAUGUAAAUAGCUAAAUAUUUCAGUUAUCCAGUUCAGUUUGAAAGUUUUAAAUUACAGUGAAUUUUCAGUAUAGCUAGCUUACUAUCACUUGUGUUUGUUGCUUGCCCUCGUGCAAGCCAUGUAUAUUGAAAUGUUAUCAUGGGAACUGUUUAUUUCUUUAUACAUGUACUCGUUGUU